rnacentral:lncRNA from 1 species
UUUUUUCCCACAUACAUCCACCCCAACAUUUUUACCCACAUAAGUCCACCCAAGUCUAAAUAAAGUUUUGUAUUAAGUAUUAAAGUUCAACAUAAUUACAGACUGCCAUCCAACAAAAAAAAUUAGAUUUUCUCCUUUAUAUUUACAAGAAUGCCACUAGUAUAAAAAGUCAACAACCACUCUCAUUUCGGAACAGUCUCCGGCGGACCUCCGGCGAGAUUUCCAGCGGACCUCCGGCGAGGUUUCCAGCGAAGUUUCCGGCCGACCUCCGACGAGAUUUCCGACUGACCUCCGGCGAGGUUUCCGGCCGACCUCCGACGAUGACAAAAAUUACUACUACCAGCUAAAAAAGCUACUACCACCAGCUAUAAAAGCUACUACCAUCGCCUACAAAAGCUACUACAAAAGUUUUUGACCGACCUCCGGCGAGAUUUCCGAUCGACCUCCGACGAGGUUUCCGGCCGACCUCCGACGAUGACAAAAAUUACUACUACAAGCUAAAAAAGCUACUACCACCAGCUAUAAAAGCUACUACCACCGCCUACAAAAGCUACUACUGUGAGGUUUCUGAUGAAAACAAAAGCUACUACCACCAGCCACAAAAACUACUACCNNNNN